rnacentral:rRNA from 1 species
UACGUAGGGGGCAAGCGUUGUCCGGAAUUACUGGGCGUAAAGGGCUCGUAGGCGGCCAACUAAGUCGGACGUGAAAUCCCUCAGCUUAACUGGGGAACUGCGUCUGAUACUGGAUGGCUUGGAUUUGGGAGAGGGAUGCGGAAUUCCCGGUGUAGCGGUGGAAUGCGUAGAGAUCGGGAAGAACAUCGGUGGCGAAGGCGGUCUGCUGGGCCGUUGCUGACGCUGAGGCGCGACAGCGUGGGGAGCAAACAGG